rnacentral:lncRNA from 1 species
GGGUUACAUGGCGCUAGGACUAACAUGGACUAUGGCAUGGGAGAGGACGUUGUCAAGCCGAGGCAUCCGUACCAGCAUGGCUCGAUGGGUCUUGUAGCAACAUACUUGGCGAUGAUGGCACAUGCGUCCUUUUGCGUGAGGUAGUGUAUGACACUUGACGGGAGACCAGUGCUUAUACGCAUGCGUACGUAUUUCCUCAGAUGUCG